AGAAAUCCCACAUUUACAUAUCCAUAAACACUUCCAAAUUGCCCACUCGGCAUGUGAAGGCACACUAUACCCUCAACUUUGCGUCUCAACUCUCCUAAGCCUCCCAGAUCUCACUUCCAAGUCACUCCCAGAAUUCAUCUCCGCCACCAUAAACCGCACAGUUUAUGAUGUUGGAGUCUCCUCCUCCAACUGCAGCAGCAUUAGAAACGAGCUUAGAAAGCCAGACAAAAUUGAAAAUAUAGCUCUCAAUGACUGCCUAGAACUCUUCACUGACACCAUUGAUGAGCUCAGAUUAGCACUUUCUGAUCUCUCCCCCAAGACAUCACCCUCCAAACAUUACCACGAGUUGCAGACUCUGUUAAGCGCUGCA
rnacentral:misc_RNA from 1 species